CUUCCGUUUUCAUUCACUUGUCUUUAUUUUGACCUUUGGUUACUCGACACCAACACUGACGUCAUCGUCAUGGCAACUGAGUCCCCGCCCACCGUGAGCCUGGACCAUGGAUGUAAUAACCUUGUGACGUCGUGGACACCGACUUGUUGACAUUCAGCCAUUUUAAUGUAGUUUUAUAGUCGUAUGAAGUUGAAAAACCCGGUGUAAUCAAAUCCAAAGCGGUAGAGGAGUAACCAGUUGACCAUCAACAGGAAGGAGAGUGUAUCAGAAAAAUAAAUGUAAAAGUAGUCCAGUCAGUAUGCAGAGAAAAAAAUAAACCCUUGAGCCACCAGGCCGCCCUCCCAGUUGAAGAAAACCCUCAGUGAAUUCAGGCUUUUCAGAGAAACAUCUGUGGGGGUUUUUUCUACAGCACCCCCC
ensembl:lncRNA